AUUGAACGCUGGCGGCAGGCCUAACACAUGCAAGUCGAGCGGAUGAAGGGAGCUUGCUCCUGGUUUCAGCGGCGGACGGGUGAGUAAUGCCUAGGAAUCUACCUGCUUGUGGGGGAUAACGUCCGGAAACGGGCGCUAAUACCGCAUACGUCCUGAGGGAGAAAGUGGGGGUUCUUCGGACCUCACGCUAUCAGAUGAGCCUAGGUCGGAUUCGCUAGUUGGUGGGGUAAAGGCCUACCAAGGCGACGAUCCGUAACUGGUCUGAGAGGAUGAUCAGUCACACUGGAACUGAGACACGGUCCAGACUCCUACGGGAGGCAGCAGUGGGGAAUAUUGGACAAUGGGCGAAAGCCUGAUCCAGCCAUGCCGCGUGUGUGAAGAAGGUCUUCGGAUUGUAAAGCACUUUAAGUUGGGAGGAAGGGCAGUAAGUUAAUACCUUGCUGUUUUGACGUUACCAACAGAAUAAGCACCGGCUAACUUCGUG
rnacentral:rRNA from 1 species